rnacentral:rRNA from 1 species
UACGGAGGGUGCAAGCGUUAUCCGGAUUCACUGGGUUUAAAGGGUGCGUAGGUGGGUUGGUAAGUCAGUGGUGAAAUCUCCGAGCUUAACUUGGAAACUGCCAUUGAUACUAUUAAUCUUGAAUAUUGUGGAGGUCAGCGGAAUAUGUCAUGUAGCGGUGAAAUGCUUAGAGAUGACAUAGAACACCAAUUGCGAAGGCAGCUGGCUACGCAUAUAUUGACACUGAGGCACGAAAGCGUGGGGAUCAAACAGG